rnacentral:rRNA from 1 species
UUAAGAAUCUUGCGCAAUGGGGGAAACCCUGACGCAGCGACGCCGCGUGAAGGAUGAAGGCCCUCGGGUUGUAAACUUCAAUAAACAGGGAAGAAUUUUGACGGUACCUGUUGAUAGCACCGGCUAAAUACGUGCCAGCAGCCGCGGUAAUACGUAUGGUGCAAGCGUUGUUCGGAUUUACUGGGCGUAAAGAGCGCGCAGGCGGAUUGUUAAGUCGGGUGUGAAAUCUCCGGGCUCAACCCGGAGGCUGCAUCCGAAACUGAUAAUCUGGAGUCCUGGAGAGGCAGACGGAAUACCUGGUGUAGCGGUGAAAUGCGUAGAUAUCAGGUGGAACACCGAUGGCGAAGGCAGUCUGCUGGACAGUGACUGACGCUGAGGCGCGAAAGCGUGGGGAGCAAACAGGAUUAGAUACCCCCGUAGUCC